AUUGAACGCUGGCGGCAUGCCUUACACAUGCAAGUCGAACGGCAGCACGGGAGCAAUCCUGGUGGCGAGUGGCGAACGGGUGAGUAAUAUAUCGGAACGUGCCCAGUCGUGGGGGAUAACGUAGCGAAAGCUACGCUAAUACCGCAUACGAUCUACGGAUGAAAGCGGGGGAUCGCAAGACCUCGCGCGAUUGGAGCGGCCGAUAUCAGAUUAGCUAGUUGGUGGGGUAAAAGCUCACCAAGGCGACGAUCUGUAGCUGGUCUGAGAGGACGACCAGCCACACUGGAACUGAGACACGGUCCAGACUCCUACGGGAGGCAGCAGUGGGGAAUUUUGGACAAUGGGCGCAAGCCUGAUCCAGCCAUUCCGCGUGCAGGAUGAAGGCCUUCGGGUUGUAAACUGCUUUUGUACGGAACGAAACGGCGAGCUCUAAUACAGUUUGCUAAUGACGGUACCGUAAGAAUAAGCACCGGCUAACUACGUG
rnacentral:rRNA from 1 species